AGAAACUUAGGACUAUUUAAACCGUCGGCCUUCAAAGCCGCCAAAAGAGGCAGCCUCUUAGUUUCU
rnacentral:tRNA from 1 species